UUUAACUGUUCAUGCAGAUUUGAGGGCGAAGAAAUGUAUAUUAUUUCAUGUUCCUUUGAGAGAAAAAGCGCGGAAUGAUGACGACGGAUUUGUAGGAUGGAUACGUUUUUUAUCACCCGCAGUAGAGGAGAGAUUAAGAGGGAUUUACAGGAAAAAGUCAUAUUUACCCUCAAUGUUUGAUUAAAUUUCAUGUCUCAGUAUUUGGUUGAACAUAAGCAAGGUUUGCAUCCGGCCAUUCACCCACCACCAUCUACUGGUCUUUCAUCUUACUGGACUGAUUAUUAAAUAUUUUACGUUUUUACUCUUUUAAUUUAUUUUUUUAUUUUAGUGUAUCCCAUUAACUUUUAAAAGUUUAUUUUGAUGCUUUAAACUUGUAAAUUAGUUUGUCUUAAUGUUUUUGGUAAUAGAUAUAAUUUAUUUAAUUUAUAUUAAUUUACUACUUCAUAUACAUUUAAAAAUAAAUUCAUUUUACUANAUUAUAAUUUUUUUACUUUUUAAAAAAUAUUUUUAAUAAUAACUUUUAACUUUUUACUCUUUAUAAAUAUUUUAAUUAAAUAUAACAUUAACAAAUAACAUUUUAUAUCACUUUAAUAACUAGGGACAUUUUGGUAAUCUUCAAUUUCUANNAAUUAAACAAUUUUUUUAAAUCUAUCACAUCAAUCAAAUUCUACACUAAUUCUCACAAACUUUACUUCCAAAUCUACUCUCAAUUACCCACAAAUCCACUCAAAAAAACAACAAAAAAAAUUACCCUCAAAUCCACUCAAAUCCAUUCAAAUCAUCUCCUCCAAAUCAUCUCUCCCAAAUCACCUUAUAAGAACAAAGCCUUAAGAUUUUACUAUACUCUUUUCUUUUAAAUAUGCUAGAUUAUCCUCUAUGUAUUUGUAUAUUUU
rnacentral:lncRNA from 1 species